rnacentral:misc_RNA from 1 species
AAGAUAAUAUAAUAACAGAAAAGUUCAUAUCCAAACGGGGUUUUGAAAUUUAAGUUGAGGUGGGUUGAAGAAUUGAAAACCGUGUACCCACUUGACCGGUUCGAGAAUAUGUAGUGCUGUUGCUAAACUCAAACCACACUAUGAAGAUACGUGGCUUCUGCACCGAAUAUCCACCACCAAGGGAGAGAAGACACAUAUUGAAGCAGGCAUUGUAUGAGCUUCGCAUGAAAUUUAG